rnacentral:rRNA from 1 species
GACGAACGCUGGCGGCGUGCUUAACACAUGCAAGUCGAACGGAAAGGCCCUGCUUUUGUGGGGUGCUCGAGUGGCGAACGGGUGAGUAACACGUGAGUAACCUUCCCUUUACUUUGGGAUAACUUCAGGAAACUGGGGCUAAUACCGGAUAGGAGCUCCUGCUGCAUGGUGGGGGUUGGAAAGUUUCGGCGGUUGGGGAUGGACUCGCGGCUUAUCAGCUUGUUGGUGGGGUAGUUGCUUACCAAGGCUUUGACGGGUAGCCGGCCUGAGAGGGUGACCGGCCACAUUGGGACUGAGAGACGGACCAGACUCCUACGGGAGGCAGCAGUGGGGAAUAUUGCACAAUGGGCGGAAGCCUGAUGCAGAAACGCCGCGUGCGGGAUGACGGCCUUCGGGUUGUAAACCGCUGUCGCCUGUGACGAAGCGUGAGUGACGGUAAUGGGUAAAGAAGCACCGGCUAACUACGUG